rnacentral:snoRNA from 1 species
AUCCUCCAGAUUCCUUAACUCUCAGAUCUGAAUAUUGGUCUGAGUGACCGAAAAAGGAGGAAAAGUAAAGCGGAAGUGCCCAUGGAGUCUUUAGUGACCUACAAGUUCAUUUCCAACAUCU